rnacentral:rRNA from 1 species
CACUAUCGUUAACUGAAUACAUAGGUUAACGAGGCGAACCGGGGGAACUGAAACAUCUAAGUACCCCGAGGAAAAGAAAUCAACCGAGAUUCCCCCAGUAGCGGCGAGCGAACGGGGAGCAGCCCAGAGUCUGAAUCAGCUUGUGUGUUAGUGGAACGGUCUGGAAAGUCCGACGGUACAGGGUGAUAGUCCCGUACACCAAAAUGCACAGGCUGUGAACUCGAAGAGUAGGGCGGGACACGUGGUAUCCUGUCUGAAUAUGGGGGGACCAUCCUCCAAGGCUAAAUACUCCUGACUGACCGAUAGUGAACCAGUACCGUGAGGGAAAGGCGAAAAGAACCCCGGCGAGGGGAGUGAAAAAGAACCUGAAACCGUGUACGUACAAGCAGUGGGAGCACCUUCGGGUGUGACUGCGUACCUUUUGUAUAAUGGGUCAGCGACUUAUAUUCUGUAGCAAGGUUAACCGUAUAGGGGAGCCGCAGGGAAACCGAGUCUUAACUGGGCGUUAAGUUGCAGGGUAUAGACCCGAAACCCGGUGAUCUAGCCAUGGGCAGGUUGAAGGUUGGGUAACACUAACUGGAGGACCGAACCGACUAAUGUUGAAAAAUUAGCGGAUGACUUGUGGCUGGGGGUGAAAGGCCAAUCAAACCGGGAGAUAGCUGGUUCUCCCCGAAAGCUAUUUAGGUAGCGCCUCGUGAACUCAUCUUCGGGGGUAGAGCACUGUUUCGGCUAGGGGGUCAUCCCGACUUACCAACCCGAUGCAAACUACGAAUACCGAAGAAUGUUAUCACGGGAGACACACGGCGGGUGCUAACGUCCGUCGUGAAGAGGGAAACAACCCAGACCGCCAGCUAAGGUCCCAAAGUCAUGGUUAAGUGGGAAACGAUGUGGGAAGGCACAGACAGCCAGGAUGUUGGCUUAGAAGCAGCCAUCAUUUAAAGAAAGCGUAAUAGCUCACUGGUCGAGUCGGCCUGCGCGGAAGAUGUAACGGGGCUAAACCAUGCACCGAAGCUGCGGCAGCGACACUAUGUGUUGUUGGGUAGGGGAGCGUUCUGUAAGCCUGCGAAGGUGUGCUGUGAGGCAUGCUGGAGGUAUCAGAAGUGCGAAUGCUGACAUAAGUAACGAUAAAGCGGGUGAAAAGCCCGCUCGCCGGAAGACCAAGGGUUCCUGUCCAACGUUAAUCGGGGCAGGGUGAGUCGACCCCUAAGGCGAGGCCGAAAGGCGUAGUCGAUGGGAAACAGGUUAAUAUUCCUGUACUUGGUGUUACUGCGAAGGGGGGACGGAGAAGGCUAUGUUAGCCGGGCGACGGUUGUCCCGGUUUAAGCAUGUAGGCUGGUUGUCCAGGCAAAUCCGGAUAAUCAAGGCUGAGGUGUGAUGACGAGGCACUACGGUGCUGAAGUAACAAAUGCCCUGCUUCCAGGAAAAGCCUCUAAGCAUCAGGUAACAUUAAAUCGUACCCCAAACCGACACAGGUGGUCAGGUAGAGAAUACCAAGGCGCUUGAGAGAACUCGGGUGAAGGAACUAGGCAAAAUGGUGCCGUAACUUCGGGAGAAGGCACGCUGGUGUGUAGGUGAAGUCCCUGCGGAUGGAGCUGAGACCAGUCGAAGAUACCAGCUGGCUGCAACUGUUUAUUAAAAACACAGCACUGUGCAAACACGAAAGUGGACGUAUACGGUGUGACGCCUGCCCGGUGCCGGAAGGUUAAUUGAUGGGGUUAUCCGUAAGGAGAAGCUCUUGAUCGAAGCCCCGGUAAACGGCGGCCGUAACUAUAACGGUCCUAAGGUAGCGAAAUUCCUUGUCGGGUAAGUUCCGACCUGCACGAAUGGCGUAAUGAUGGCCAGGCUGUCUCCACCCGAGACUCAGUGAAAUUGAACUCGCUGUGAAGAUGCAGUGUACCCGCGGCAAGACGGAAAGACCCCGUGAACCUUUACUAUAGCUUGACACUGAACAUUGAGCCUUGAUGUGUAGGAUAGGUGGGAGGCUUUGAAGCGUGGACGCCAGUCUGCGUGGAGCCAACCUUGAAAUACCACCCUUUAAUGUUUGAUGUUCUAACGUUGGCCCCUGACCGGGGUUGCGGACAGUGUCUGGUGGGUAGUUUGACUGGGGCGGUCUCCUCCCAAAGCGUAACGGAGGAGCACGAAGGUUAGCUAAUCCUGGUCGGACAUCAGGAGGUUAGUGCAAUGGCAUAAGCUAGCUUGACUGCGAGCGUGACGGCGCGAGCAGGUGCGAAAGCAGGUCAUAGUGAUCCGGUGGUUCUGAAUGGAAGGGCCAUCGCUCAACGGAUAAAAGGUACUCCGGGGAUAACAGGCUGAUACCGCCCAAGAGUUCAUAUCGACGGCGGUGUUUGGCACCUCGAUGUCGGCUCAUCACAUCCUGGGGCUGAAGUAGGUCCCAAGGGUAUGGCUGUUCGCCAUUUAAAGUGGUACGCGAGCUGGGUUUAGAACGUCGUGAGACAGUUCGGUCCCUAUCUGCCGUGGGCGCUGGAGAAUUGAGGGGGGCUGCUCCUAGUACGAGAGGACCGGAGUGGACGCAUCACUGGUGUUCGGGUUGUCAUGCCAAUGGCACUGCCCGGUAGCUAAAUGCGGAAGAGAUAAGUGCUGAAAGCAUCUAAGCACGAAACUUGCCCCGAGAUGAGUUCUCCCUGAGACUUUAAGUCUCCUGAAGGAACGUUAAAGACGAUGACGUUGAUAGGCCGGGUGUGUAAGCGCAGCGAUGCGUUGAGCUAACCGGUACUAAUGAACCGUGAGGCUUAACCUU